rnacentral:rRNA from 1 species
UACGUAGGGCGCAAGCGUUAUCCGGAAUUAUUGGGCGUAAAGAGCUCGUAGGCGGCUUGUCGCGUCGUCCGUGAAAACCUACAGCUUAACUGUGGGCUUGCAGUCGAUACGGGCAGACUUGAGUUCGGUAGGGGAGACUGGAAUUCCGUGGUGUAGCGGUGAAAUGCGCAGAUAAUCAGGAGGAAACCCGUAGCGAAGGCGGCACG